GGGAGGUUACGGCGGGAGCCGGGACAAACCAUUCCCGCGAGGGGGCACCGCCGGCGGACGGGCGGGCGGGGCCGGAGCGACGGGCCCUCCCACACAGGGUGAAGCUUCCCUCUCCAAGGGGUCCUGCUGCUCUGCCUGAACCUCCUCCAGCCUUUCUCCUCCCUCGUCCCUUGAGAUCCCAGCUACCAUUGGAUUGCUGCUCUCCAACACCACUGGAACUUUCAAAAGUCUCUUGCUUCACCUGACUAUCUAACCCUGAGACUUGUGGAUGAAAAAGCACUGUGUAAAUGAUUUAGCUUUCUGGUUUAAAAGUGUGAGGAAAAGGCACUGCAGACACGUGAUUAAAGAACAUCUACUGAAACUCUCUGAGCCUGGAAUGACUCCUCAUUCAUGGCACUAACAGUAAAAAGAAAUCAAAAAAAGACACUGAGAAGAAAUUGAAGCAUUGAAAGGCUCGAACUCUGGAAAUACCAGAAACCACUGGAAAAGAGGCAAGAACUUCAGUGCACAUCUGACAGCAGCAGUAUCUUCUACAAAUAUGGAAUAACCUGCAGAACAGUUACAAGCAACUGACCAAAGUGCUGCCUGGCUGAUAUGGAGAGACUACACCCACUGAGCCCAAUGAUCGUGGGAGAUAAAGGCUGAGAACUGAGCAGCUGCACUUGCCCACUAAGGACAUCUGUAGUUUAUCUCUGAAAAAAACACGUCUACUCAGCAGGACGUUGAUCAUAAGACAGCACCUGUCACUUCCUGUGACUGAAUAUGUAGUCACUAUCCAUGGAAAAUUUGAUAAAAUGCUCUCUUGUCAAGGGGCAAUACUGACGGCAAAAGCAUAGUACCAGUUUCUUUAAAUAAGUGUAAAACAUCAGGAAAAAACCCCACCUUGCAACUUUAGGGCUCUUGAGAGGUUUGUGGUGAACCGUAGUUAAAAAUCAAGAAGGAAAUAUAUAAAUCCCUUGCUUUUAUAUUUACAUGGGGUGGUUUUGAUCACUGGCUACCUUGGGAAACAUUUGGGAAACAUCCCAUGCCAAGACGGAAGGGUGGCAGUAGUGAAGUGUUGGCUGCUGGUGUAAACUUUCUUUGGAGCUUUUUACUCUAAGUGUACCUAGCCAUACUGAAGGAAGCCCAAGUUGCCCUUAAUUAAGACUCCCUCCUUUGAACCAAAAUGUCCCUCAAAAUUAUGGUGUUUGGGACACUUUCCUGAGGCUCCAGAUUCCAUCUGGAUUCCCAGUUGAAGGGCAUUGAAGAACAUUUUUCAGAUCUGGCAGAGAAAGUUCUUGGCCAAGCUGCUUAAAUUUCGUCGUGGAUUCAGGGGCUGACAAUCUGAGAUAUUGUGGAAAAGCCAUGUAAGACCUUUUACUCCUCUCUGAGCGAGUGGGUCCUCAACAGGACUGAAUUUGGCAUCAGUGGAUUUGGCCUUACCUGCCCAAGCUGUGGUUUAUUCUGUCUGUGUAGCUGGUGUGAGGAGCAGGGGAAAUUGCUGUACUCCUGCUUUCAGCCUUUCCCUUAGCACGCCUACAUGACAUAAUUGAUAUAUUCUUGGCAGAUCUGAAAUUAUGCUGCAGUGAUGAAUAUUCCUGUUUCUGGGUCAGAAGCUGUAAAAUUUGGAAAAUAUCUUCCAUGUUCACAAAGAGAUACAUAUGCUUCUUGGCACGUUAGCAACCUGCUAGAAAAACAUCCCACGCUGGCAGAGCAGGGGUUAGCUGAGAGCGGGAAAUGUGCCAGGAGCCUGGAACAACCCGAAAGGAAAACAAAGAGUUAAGUGCCAAAUAUAUCAGUCCGUUUAGGAACAGAGAAGGAGGCUGCUAGGGGUAUUCAAAAAUGCAGGAAUGUGGGAUUUGGGGAAGAGCAGUCUAAUGGUAUUCAAACCCUGCAGUUUACAGGCACUGCUGCAAUGGUAAGGCAGGCUGGCCAUAAAAAGAGAAUUACAACUAAGGCAGGUACAUAUUCAUAACCUGAGCAGAGCCUACGCCCUCGGGGUAAGAAUUAUUAGUACAGAUGGGCAAACCCAUCAAUCUGUAUAUGCCAAUCCCUUGCAAUGCGGGCACACCUUAAAUGCCAGAGAAGAAAAAGAAGAUGCGUAAUGAUUUAAAUUUAGUGACUUGUUUCAAAUGUGUAUUGAAAACAACUGCUGUAGUUGCUACAGAAAUGCUGCUAUCUCAUCUAGAAAUCAGAAUUAUUAUGGAGUGAAAUGAUAUGUGGCUCCAGAAGUCAUUACCAUAGGAACAGGUGAUUUCUAUUAAAAGCACGUGAGAAUCUUUGAUCUAGCAGAAAUUUAUCUUUUCUGUCCUGAAAUGAUCCUCUCAUUUUUAGUUCUAAGUCUAUGUAGAGUAAAAUAUGUGUUUCAUGAGGGAACUAUACAUCUGCUACAGAGCUUUCAGCUUUAUCAGAGAAAAAGACUGGUCUUACUAGGAUAUUUCUAAUUGAUAUUGUUGAUUCCCAACAAAUAUAUAGAAAAGUGGAUGAAAACCUGCUGAGAGUCACUGAAGCUCCAUCAUUAAAUGCAUAGAGUUGUAAAACUGCUGAGCUGAGUAUAUUUUUUAAAAUCUCAUACAGAUCAGCAAAACAAAUGGAAUUUGAAUUUUUUUAGAUUGCACUCUCAGUGAAAUAUUUUAACAUACCCAAAGAAAACAUUUUUUGUAUUUGCAUAAUUUGAUUUUUUAAUCAAUUGUCUUGAAAGAAAGAAGACAAACUACUUUUGUAUGAGCAGUGAUAUGAGACAUUUCAGCAUAAAAGGAUUUUAUAUAAGAAAAUUAAGGCAACUGAAGACUAGGGCUAGAAUAAGAGUUGACAGUCUGAAUGCUAAGUAAUUAUAUAUACAUAACAUCUAUAAUCUAUACUACAUUAGUAUGCUCUGCAAUCAAUGAGUAUUAACUUGUUAAUAUAGCAUUUGUGUAAGUGGUGUGAAUGAGAAUACAAAUGUCCAGCCCUAAUUCCUUGUUUCUGUUAUCUUUGCUGAGAUGUGUAAUGCCAGGACCGUGGAAACGGUUCACUUAUUGUUUCACAGCACAGUUCACUUAUUUUGUUAUGUUUCUGAUUAGGAGGGUGCUUGGGUAUAAGCAUUUAUGCAAAGCCAUCAGUGCUCCAUGUGCAUUCAGAGCACGUGCUUACUUAAGAACCAGUGUCAUUGCAUUGGUGCACAUAUAUAUAUAUCUGUGGUGCUGGAUGUGUAUAUGUAGGAUUUUGCUGGAGUACAUGCAAUGACCAACUGAUCCGUGUCCACUAAAUCCCAAAGGGCAGUAAUGACUAUUGGACCUUGGGGGAUCCCCACAUGUGCAGCCUCUGCAGCAUAAUUGGCUAGCGAAGGGAUGAGCUGUAAAGACAAGAAUAUGCUAAAGAGGCUGCAGCACAUCUCAUUUGUUAGUGAUGCUGCUGCUGUCUUCUCAAGGAUAUCAAAAUGCCUGUCAGCACCUGGAUAAAAAUCAGCUGACUCAGACUCAAUCUGGCCAAAACGAAAAUGAUGAUGGCUGGAGCGGGGAAAAUGUUUAAAACUGGGAUAAGAUCUUCACCUAUCUGAGAUAGCAUCUUCAGAUAUUUAUUUAAACUCUACAGCAUCUCAGAUUUCUGUUCUUUGUCAUUGUAUGAGUGAUCAAGAUGAUAGGUGACAAAAGUACCCUCUCCUUUUCCCAUGCUUAACUUCUCCUCCUGGUACAGAUCUGGCCAUUGCAAACUACAUGCCUUUGCUUGGCAGUGAAUUACCAGUUAAUCACUGAACCUCUGGGUAAGUGCCUAAAGAACGCACAGAUUCCAGCUUUGGCAAAAUGAGACAGCUCUCUUCAACACUAGCAGCUUCACCGCCUCCAAUGGUUUGCAGGUUAUUUCCUCACCAUGUCUACAUCUUCUUUCUGAUCUUCAAAGCAAUAAA